rnacentral:rRNA from 1 species
GAUGAACGCUAGCGGCAGGCUUAAUACAUGCAAGUCGAGGGGCAGCACGGGUAGCAAUACCUGGUGGCGACCGGCAAACGGGUGCGGAACACGUACGCAACUUUCCUCUGAGCGGGGAAUAGCCCGGGGAAACCCGGAUUAAUACCCCAUAAUAUAAUGGAGAAGCAUUUCUUUAUUAUUAAAGAUUUAUCACUCAGAGAUGGGCGUGCGCCUGAUUAGGUAGUUGGCGGGGUAACGGCCCACCAAGCCUGCGAUCAGUAGCUGAUGUGAGGGCAUGAUCAGCCACACGGGCACUGAGACACGGGCCCGACUCCUACGGGAGGCAGCAGUAAGGAAUAUUGGCAAUGGACGAAAGUCUGAACCAGCCAUGCCGCGUGGAGGAUGAAGGUCCUCUGGAUUGUAAACUUCUUUUAUAGGGGACGAAAAAGGAAUUCUUUUCCGUCUGACGGUACCCUAUGAAUAAGCACCGGCUAACUCCGUGCCAGCCGCCGCAGUAAC